UACGAAGGGGGCUAGCGUUGCUCGGAAUUACUGGGCGUAAAGCGCACGUAGGCGGAUCUUUAAGUCAGGGGUGAAAUCCUGGAGCUCAACUCCAGAACUGCCUUUGAUACUGAGGACCUUGAGUUCGGGAGAGGUGAGUGGAACUGCGAGUGUAGAGGUGAAAAUUCGUAGAUAUUCGCAAGAACACCAGUGGCGAAGGCGGCUCACUGGCCCGAUACUGACGCUGAGGUGCGAAAGCGUGGGGAGCAACAGGGAUA
rnacentral:rRNA from 1 species